GGCGCCCGGGAGCGACGGUCGCGCUCCUCGGUGAUCCCAGCCUGAGAGCAGACCCUCUGGAACUCACAGCCGGGGCCCGUCCCCGCGGGGCACUGCCCGCUCAGACGGCGCCCUCAACUUGGGCACGGAGUCACGAGGGGAGCGGGAACGGAACUCCGAAAUGCGUCCUGAGGUGUCCUGGGGACGAUAGGUUAUCACUGAAGGCUUUUUGAGGAAAUGCAUCACUGCUGUGAGCCUGGCUUCCUGCAGGACCUGCAUGGGAAUCGUUUCUUCAGCUGGCUUCAUCAUUAGCAAACUUCUUUCUGGUAUGAGCUGGUACCUCCUGAGACUUGUGAGGAGAUGUGGCCCAUCAGAUUGAUCCUUUUCCUGGCAUCAGUAGAAGGAUGUGAGAAAAGCACUGACUGUUCCCUUUGGUCUGUUUAAAGACCAAAGAGACAGAAAUAAAAAGCAGUGCAGCAAUGAUUCUACAACAUUUUGCAAAUAAGAUGCACUUUGAAGUUUUUUGAACACUGGGACAUGUAAAAGGAAUGCCUGGUUGAGAAAUACUUUGAGCCAUAUGAACCAUAUUGUUUCUAUGAGUAUACAGAGAGCACAGGCCAGCUAAAUUUCAGCCUAGUCCAGCCUCUGAGGGGGGGUGAGCUCUGUUGUAGGCCUUAGAUCACAGAUGAGAGACACAACAGCAUCACAGAUGACAAUGACAACCUGCAGACAUGUUGUAAUGCUUUUUUUCUUUGUUUUUUUUCCUUUCACAUUUAUUAUUACGCCACAGUUGUGAUAGUCAUUUUCUUAUAUGGCUCUUGCUGCAAAUCAGAUUACGAAAUCUCUGUGUUUUGAUACUACAUUUGAAAAGCAACCAGAACCACCAGGUGGUCCGUUUCUUAAGUGAGAUGUGACAUUAAGAGUGUUCAGCAGCCAUGUCUCAUUUUUUUUAACUUUUUGCCCGGUCACAUUAAAAUGAAAGUCACAGUGCUGGUUACAAUUACAAAAUUUUACAAAAUCUUGGACCUAUUAUAAGAGAUCACCCCUUUGCAUGAACUGUGUUUUGAGGUCCAGUCUCUUCCAGCAUGAGAAAAUGGGUUUGAUAACACAAUGGGGUCACAUACCUACUGCACUUUUACUCAACAGAAUUUCCAAAGAGAAAGAUAAACUAUUUUAUUGAUAGGCUAUUAACACUGAUAAUUAUCAUUGGAUUUGAUACACUUGGAAGUUGAAGGAAAUGUCGCCCCACAUAAAUUAUAUAAUUUAUAAAUCCAUAAAUGUGUGCAUAUUGAAAUAAUUAUACCAAUAUCUAUGCUUAAGAUAUGGACCUAAUACUAGAGAUUGCCAGGAUUAGAAACUGUUUCCAUUAUCUGAACAGUAACUGGGCAAAAUCUGAUCUGAGCAGUCAUUAAAAAAUUUAGUGAUAUUUUUAUCUGUUUUCAAAUACCACUCUAAAUUUUAUUGUGUUUAAUCUAGCUUACUUGUUAAAGGAACAUAAAAAGAGGCAUUGGGAAUGUAGAUUUAGUGUAGCACAGCUGUUAAGAUGAAGAGUAAUAGUUGGGAAGCCUUAGCUCUCAGAUUCUUCUGCUGUACUAAUGUCACCAAAAUCGUAUCACUGGGAUACGGCUGUUUUUCAUAGGUUGUAUGGGUAGAAGGAACAGAUACUUUUGCCCCACAGAAGCAGAUCUCCUGAUCCACUGACUUCACACAUGGGUGUAAUCCUGGGUACACUCACAGCAGCAUGGAUUCACGCAUUGCAAAAGUCUUUGUUCUCUACGAAAGGGCAAAAGCUCCCAGGUUAGGUAUGACCCAUGCUGGUCAGUGAAAGGGUUUCUCUCUGAGGUUAGGGCCAUGGGCCAGACUGCUUGAGUUAAACAUUUUCAUAAGGCAUGAUAUGCCAUCCUGCUUAAAAAUGCCAUAUUUUUCAGAAUAAACUAAACUUUCUUGUGAGUUAUUACUUGCAACACUAUGCUUAUUGAUGACACGUAGUAAAUAAGAUCUGUUUUCCAGGUGGUGGGAAGUCUGAUAGGCUAGUAGAAAAGAAACUGACUGUAUUUGUUCCUGUAUUUAUUUGUUUACUAAAAAUGCUGGCUUUCAAUCUGCUAAUCACCAGAGGCUGUUGCCUUUUGACGAAACAAAAACACAAGAAUACCAAAAUUGUUAAUGAAAAGCUCUUUUGUGGGCUGAUCUAAUUUUUUUCAAUAUAAAGGAAGCCUUUCUCAGUUUACAAAUAGGUCUCAGGACUGUAUCUCUGAGAUUUUAACACUCUAUGCAGGCAUAAAUUUAAGCCAAGGAAGAGUCACAUGUUGCACAGCUGAAGUUUAUUUUGUUCACUUGGCUGAUGCUCAAGAGCAACAAAAAAAUUUCCGGAUAAAGCUAAAAUACAGUAAGACACUGGCUCUGGGGAGCAUCUUUUUCCUAUAUAUUGCCCAGAAUUAUUUGGAGGGCAUUUUAGAGAUGUGGUUGAGUAGAGGUGUGAAUAACAGAUGUUGUUUUGAUAGGGAGCAGAAUGAUUUGUUGUUUGGUUCACCUUUCUUUUAACAGUGUCCCUUUCUCGGGCCAAAGACUCCUUACUUCACUGACAAUAGGAAAAGUAAUAAAAACCGAUGGUUCAGAUUGAGUGAAUCACACAAAUAUAUACCUGUAUAUAGCCAUUAUCACAAAUAGAAUGGAAUGUGCUUCCUAUAAACUUCAGACAACUCUUAAUGAUACACUGGUAACAGCCAUGUCUCAUUUGGGGUUUCUCUCCAUACCUGUUUUCUCUCGGUCAUCAGGGAUUUGCAAGUGUUCUCGGGAUUUCCUUGGAAUUUAGGCUAAUAGAGAAGUGCAGGACAAAUCAUAAGUAUGAUUUAUUAGCUAUUAGAGACAAGUUCUUGAAACUGCAAGGAGGUAUUUGCAUGUUGUGAUUUUGACUGCAAAGACUUUCCUUAAGAGAAGUACUUGUCUGUUCUCCUCUACUAGUAAUUUGUACCAUUUUUUGUGUAAACCACAGUUCCAGGUUUUACCAAUAAAUAAAGGAAAUGGCACACUUUUAAAAGGAGAUUAAAA